CUUGAAUAAAAUAAGAGGUCCAGCCUGCCCAGUGAAAUUAUUCAACGGCCGCGGUAUCCUAACCGUGCGAAGGUAGCGUAAUCACUUGUUCUUUAAAUGAGGACUAGUAUGAAUGGCACCACGAGGGUUCUACUGUCUCCUUUUUUUAAUCAGUGAAACUAAUCUCCCCGUGAAGAAGCGGGGAUCUUUAUAUAAGACGAGAAGACCCUAUGGAGCUUUAAACAACCAACAUUUGCUACACCAUAACAUUUUCCCUAAAAGAAGUAUAGCAUUAUGAUUAUUAGUUUUCGAUUGGGGUGAUCACGGAGUAAAAUAUAACCUCCAUGCCGAAAGGGUUCUUACCCUGAGCAAAAAGCCACAACUUUAAGCACUAAAAAAUUAACGCAGUUUGACCCAAUAUUUUGAUCAACGAAC
rnacentral:rRNA from 1 species